GCUGAAGUAGCCCAACUGGCAGAGGCGCCAGACUUAAAAUCUGGAUGUUGUGGGUUCGACUCCCAUCUUCAGCA
rnacentral:tRNA from 1 species